GACGAACGCUGGCGGCGUGCUUAACACAUGCAAGUCGAACGGAAAGGCCCUGCUUUCGUGGGGUGCCCGAGUGGCGAACGGGUGAGUAACACGUGAGUAACCUGCCCUUGUCUUUGGGAUAACUUCAGGAAACUGGGGCUAAUACCGUAUAGGAGCUCCUGCUGCAUGGUGGGGGUUGGAAAGUUUCGGCGGUUGGGGCUGGACGCGCGGCUUAUCAGCUUGUUGGUGGGGUAGUGGCUUACCAAGGCUUGGACGGGUAGGCGGCCUGAGAGGGUGGCCGGCGACAAUGGGACUGAGGGACGGAGCAGACUCGUACGGGAGGCAGCGGUGGGGAGUAUUGCACAGUGAGCGCAAGUCUGAUGCAGCGACGCCGCGGGCGGGAUGACGGCCUGCGGGUAGUAAACCGCUGUCGCCUGUGACGAAGCGUGAGUGACGGUAAUGGGUAAAGAAGCACCGGCUAACUACGUG
rnacentral:rRNA from 1 species